AAACGAGUGUCAUCAGCAUGAAAGCAUGUCUUUUCGAACGGUGGCUGAAGCAUGAAGGGGCAUGCAAAUGUUCAGCACACCUGGCAUGCAAAUACCUGCUCUAACUUUGUGGUGACACUGCAAACAAGAAAAGGGCAACAUUAUCUCCUGCAAAUGUAAACAAACUUGUUAGCCUUAGCAACUGUCUGAAUGAGAAGUAGGACUGAGUGGAUCUGCAGGCUCUGAAGUUCCACAUUACUUUGUUUUUGAGUGCAGUUAUAUA